rnacentral:rRNA from 1 species
UACGUAGGGUGCGAACGUUGUCCGGAAUUACUGGGCGUAAAGAGCUCGUAGGUGGUUUGUCGCGUUGUUCGUGAAAUCUCACGGCUUAACUGUGAGCGUGCGGGCGAUACGGGCAGACUGGAGUACUGCAGGGGAGACUGGAAUUCCUGGUGUAGCGGUGGAAUGCGCAGAUAUCAGGAGGAACACCGGUGGCGAAGGCGGGUCUCUGGGCCGAUACUGACGCUGAGGAGCGAAAGCGUGGGGAGCAAACAGG